GAAGGCCUUCGGGUUGUAAAGCACUUUCAGUUGUGAGGAAAGGGAUGUAGUUAAUAGCUGCAUUCUGUGACGUUAGCAACAGAAGAAGGACCGGCUAACUCCGUGCCAGCAGCCGCGGUAAUACGGAGGGUCCGAGCGUUAAUCGGAAUUACUGGGCGUAAAGCGUGCGUAGGCGGUUUGUUAAGCGAGAUGUGAAAUCCCGGGGCUCAACCUCGGAACUGCAUUUCGAACUGGCAGGCUAGAAUACUGUAGAGGGUGGUGGAAUUUCCAGUGUAGCGGUGAAAUGCGUAGAGAUUGGAAGGAACAUCAGUGGCGAAGGCGGCCACCUGGACAGAUAUUGACGCUGAGGCACGAAAGCGUGGGGAGCAAGCAGGAUUAGAUACCCUGGUAGUCCACGCCGUAAACGAUGUCAACUAGCUGUCUGUGGACUUGAUCCGUGGGUAGCGUAGCUAACGCGCUAAGUUGACCGCCUGGGGAGUACGGCCGCAAGGUUAAAACUCAAAUGAAUUGACGGGGGCCCGCACAAGCGGUGGAGCAUGUGGUUUAAUUCGAUGCAACGCGAAGAACCUUACCAUCCCUUGACAUCCAGAGAAUUUACUGGAGAUAGUUUAGUGCCUUCGGGAACUCUGUGACAGGUGCUGCAUGGCUGUCGUCAGCUCGUGUUGUGAAAUGUUGGGUUAAGUCCCGCAACGAGCGCAACCCCUAUCCUUAUUUGCCAGCGCGUAAUGGCGGGAACUCUAAGGAGACUGC
rnacentral:rRNA from 1 species